UUGGGAUUCGGCUAGCAAUUUUUUGAUGAAAAUCACGAUAAAAACCUACAAUUCGUAACAGCGAGUCAACUGUGCUUGCUUUCCAGUCAUCGGCUCCUGCGAGGAAAACUAUUAACUAUAAACUAUGUACGAAAGAACUCUUUGAACGUUUUUAAACAUCGUGUCUAAUGUACAUGUGCACGAUGUGGACGAUGUGGUCUCUUUUCAAGGUUAAAAGACUCUUGGUGAAAAGACUCUUGGUGAAAAGGCUCAGGUGAAAAGACAAAAGUAUCAUGUGAGAGCUGAUGGGCAUAUAUCAUAUAUGAAUGAGAACAGUAUUGUAUACAAAGCACUGUUUACCUUCUUUAUUUUUUUGGUUUUCAGAAUUGGAGCCACCUCAAAUAGUAGUAGAUUUUUAGCACAUUUUGAUGCAUUGUUGUAUUGUGUAAUAAAGCAAAAAACAAUUUUGGCUAAAUACACACUUGCAUUUUCAUUAUCUUCCUCUUCAGUUUCCUGACCUGUUUUGAAUGCAAUUGAACUAUUUGAGUGAUUUUCAGUUUUCAAAACAAAAACAAAUUUUAUACACAUUUGAUACCAGUGUCCAUUGCUUUUUCCUCAUCUGUAUAAUCUAGCAUCUGGUGUUUUUGUAUGCAAAAAACGAUAAAGUGUAAAUAGAUAUUUUGCAAGAAGGGAUUUAAACCAUGUAAAUGAAUCACUUUUUGUUUACUUCCAUGCUGAAAGCUUCAUAUAAAGCUUUUCAGAUCAGAAAUUAUUAAAUUAUUGAUCUGUA